rnacentral:pre_miRNA from 1 species
AAUAAGUCUAUUUUUUAAGUUGUUGCAUGCAAUUUUUGACUCUUCAUCUGAUUUGAAUAUUUUUUAUGAUUAAUAUUUUUAUUGUUAUUAGAUGACAAAACAUAAAUAGUACUUUACGUGUGACUAAUUUUUUGAGUUCUGUAUAAAUUUUUUAAAUAAGACGGAUGGUCAAACGCUAAACAAAGAAACU